GUGCAGCAGUCGAGAAAUCUUUACAAUGUGCGAAAGCACGAUAAGGGAACUCUGAGUGCCUCCUAAGGAGGCUGUUCAGGUGUCUAAAAAGCACCUGAAGGAAGGGCUGGGUAAGACCGGUGCCAGCCGCCGCAGUAACACCGGCAGCCCAAGUGGUAGCCACGUUUAUUGGGUCUAAAGCGUCCGUAGCCGGCUGGGUAAGUCCUCCGUUAAAUCCAACGAUUCAAUCGUUGGGCUGCGGGGGAUACUGUCCAGCUUGGGGGCGGGAGAGGCCGACGGUAUUCCCGGGGUAGGGGUGAAAUCCUAUAAUCCCGGGAGGACCACCAGUGGCGAAGGCUGUCGGCUAGAACGCGCCCGACGGUGAGGGAUGAAAGCUGGGGGAGCGAACCGGAUUAGAUACCCCGGUAGU
rnacentral:rRNA from 1 species